CUGUGCUUAUGUAAAUGGAUGAGUGCUAAUCGCUUUGCUAAUGGGAAACACACAGGGAGAUAGGAUCUGCAGCAAAGCGGAAGGGCUUUCAGAAAAUUAGAGCUGGGAAAAACCCCAAAGAAAUCUGGGAAGAUGAUAAGGCAAUGCCCAAGAACUCACAGCAGCGCUGUGGGAGGGUGGGCUCUGGGGCAGAGGGGAGCUCCUGAAGCAUCAGCCAGUCCUGGAGACUCAAGUCCAAGGGAGGCAGGGCUGUGAGUAGUCAUCCAGCUGCCUUGGGCCCAGAGCAGCUUGAAGAGCAGAUUCCAUCUCCUUGAGCCAGGCCCACUUGCUGGGCAGCCUCGCCCAGAAUUCCUGGACAAUUCCUCUUUGCUUUGCCCUAUGCUGGGUUCUGGUAUCACACAGCCACAUCUAAACCCUGCGUCCCAGGAGAAGAGUUCAGCCAGAGUAGCCAACCCAGUCUAAUGGAAAAUUUGGAAGGAUGUUCAUCAUCUUGCCGCGUCUCUGUUUGUGUUCUAUUUCAGCCUAACAUGAAGGGAGCAUCAUCUUCGUUUUCACCAGCUCAGAGGGCAAAGCAUCUUGUCCUGGGUCACACAGCACAUCUGCAGAGAAACUGGUAGGGGUUGGGACAGCAGUUUCCCACUUUCUGUGCUGAGCUAUUCCUGCUCGCCAUGUAACCAGUGUCUCCACAACUUCUGACUGUGGUAGGAUAAUGGGGUGGGAGGUAUGGGUGCCUGGAUUUCAGCUUUCUGGAGGGAAAUCUUGACAUGCUUUUAUUUUCUUGUUUCUUUGGGGUGGAGCAAAUAAAAGGCAGUCAGGGGGUCCAUCAGGCCCAUGGGUACUGGUUCCAGGCAUAGCCUGUCAGUGGGAAUAUCUGGCCUCAAUGAAAGGGAGGAUGGUUUCAUGAAGAGGAGGAUCUUACGUAGAGGGAUCUUAGGUACACAAAUGGUGUACUUUCAGGCAUGGGAGCAAAGCGGAGCUAUUUUAGGGGAUGGGGUACCAGGUGGACACCCACCUGUAGAAGAGGCUUCUUUGGCCAGCCCUGGAAGAACAACUAGGUCUGAUUGAGACCCCCAGAACUCAAGGAGCCCAAGGAAGACGCUGGCUGCAUCUGCAGAAUUCAUCAGGCGGCUUGAUGGGUCGCCGUUAAACAAAGAUGGGAUAAGGUUACAUGUGUUUUCCGUGGGAGUCGGCUCCGAUUUCAGCCUGAUGAUUUAGUCAGGUGUAAGCAUGAAGUUUCCAAUUUAGAGAAAUAAAUCUCCAGUGAUUUUAUUAUCCCCUGUUUUACCCUGACACCCAACUUCACCCCGGCCCCCUGUCAAAGCCCUCAUGAUGUGUUUAUAUAGGGCACACUGUAAUUGAUUGGCAUGCAAUAGAACAUUACACAGAAAAUGUGGCCUUCCCCACCAGGCCCAACUCUGGGAGCUUCCAUAUUUCAUCAUCCCCCGGGCCCAAUCCAAGGCUUCCACUCCUGUGGCCACAAAUUCUUGGGAUUCUGGGUUGUCUGAGAACAGGAGCACAGGGCCAAAGGGUCCAGUCAGGGCCCCCAGAGCGGCCUCACAGGAUGUUCUGGCCUGGAGAUGGAGGGUGAAGGACAUUGGGCAGAGGCAUCUGCCAUGGGUAGAGAGGCCGCUUGGGGUGGUUAGACUCAUUACUUCCAAGGUCUUGUCUACUCAGAGUAGUUCAACCAUCCAUGAUGGCUCUAAGUUUGGUUCUAAUUCAAAAGUUCUAAAUUUCUGAGGUGGUCAGUUUAGAAAAUCUGUUAUCAAGCAUAUAUGAAUCUGUGGCCCUAGAUUUAU
rnacentral:lncRNA from 10 species